AAUGAACGUUGGCGGCGUGGAUUAGGCAUGCAAGUCGAGCGAGAACCCCGCAAGGGGGGACAGCGGCGAAAGGGACAGUAAUGUGUAGAUUAUCUGCCCUCAGGUCCGGGAUAGCUGCGGGAAACUGCAGGUAAUACCGGAUAACAUCUCCGGAUCAAAGGUGUGAUUCCGCCUGAGGAUGAGUCUGCAUCCUAUUAGCUAGUUGGUGGGGUAAUGGCCUACCAAGGCAUUGAUGGGUAGCAGGUGUGAGAGCACGACCUGCGUCAUUGGGACUGAGACACUGCCCAGACACCUACGGGUGGCUGCAGUCGAGAAUCUUCGGCAAUGAGCGCAAGCCUGACCGAGCGACGCCGCGUGUGGGAUGAAGGCCUUCGGGUUGUAAACCACUGUCAGAGGGGAUGAAAUGCAGGUGGGUGCUCCCAUCUGUUUGACAUAGCCUCAGAGGAAGGACGGGCUAAGUUCGUG
rnacentral:rRNA from 1 species